rnacentral:rRNA from 1 species
UACGGGAGGCAGCAGUGGGGAAUAUUGGGCAAUGGGCGAAAGCCUGACCCAGCAACGCCGCGUGAAGGAAGAAGGCCUUCGGGUUGUAAACUUCUUUUAUCAAGGACGAAGAAGGUGACGGUACUUGAUGAAUAAGCCACGGCUAACUACGUGCCAGCAGCCGCGGUAAU